rnacentral:rRNA from 1 species
CCUACGGGAGGCUGCAGUAGGGAAUAUUGCUCAAUGGGGGAAACCCUGAAGCAGCAACGCCGCGUGGAGGAUGAAGGUUUUCGGAUUGUAAACUCCUUUUGUUAGAGAAGAUAAUGACGGUAUCUAACGAAUAAGCACCGGCUAACUCCGUGCCAGCAGCCGAGGUAAUACGGAGGGUGCAAGCGUUACUCGGAAUCACUGGGCGUAAAGGGCGCGUAGGCGGGAUAGCAAGUCAGAUGUGAAAUCCUAUGGCUUAACCAUAGAACUGCAUUUGAAACUGUUAGUCUAGAGUAUGGGAGAGGUAGGUGGAAUUCUUGGUGUAGGGGUAAAAUCCGUAGAGAUCAAGAGGAAUACUCAUUGCGAAGGCGACCUGCUAGAACAUAACUGACGCUGAUGCGCGAAAGCGUGGGGAGCAAACAGGAUUAGAUACCCGAGUAGUC